rnacentral:rRNA from 1 species
UACAGAGGGGGCAAGCGUUAUUCGGAAUUAUUGGGCGUAAAGGGCGCGUAGGCGGCUUGGCAAGUGGAUGGUGAAAUCCCUCGGCUUAACCGAGGAACUGCCGUCCAAACUGCUUCGCUUGAGACCGGGAGAGGUGAGUGGAAUUCCCAGUGUAGCGGUGAAAUGCGUAGAUAUUGGGAGGAACACCAGUGGCGAAGGCGGCUCACUGGACCGGUACUGACGCUGAUGCACGAAAGCGUGGGGAGCAAACAGG